UUCUGAUAUUGGAACGAAUACAGAGACAUCCAACAAAAUUGGAAUGAUACUGAGAAGAUUAGCAUGCCCCUGCGUAGACACGCACAAAUUUCUGAGAAAUGGUCCAAAUUUUU
rnacentral:snRNA from 1 species